rnacentral:rRNA from 1 species
UGGGGAAUUUUGGACAAUGGGGGAAACCCUGAUCCAGCCGUCCCGCGUGUGCGAUGAAGGCCUUCGGGUUGUAAAGCACUUUUGGCAGGAAAGAAACGUCAUGGGUUAAUACCCCGUGAAACUGACGGUACCUGCAGAAUAAGCACCGGCUAACUACGUGCCAGCAGCCGCGGUAAUACGUAGGGUGCAAGCGUUAAUCGGAAUUACUGGGCGUAAAGCGUGCGCAGGCGGUUCGGAAAGAAAGAUGUGAAAUCCCAGAGCUCAACUUUGGAACUGCAUUUGUAACUACCGGGCUAGAGUGUGUCAGAGGGAGGUGGAAUUCCGCGUGUAGCAGUGAAAUGCGUAGAUAUGCGGAGGAACACCGAUGGCGAAGGCAGCCUCCUGGGAUAACACUGACGCUCAUGCACGAAAGCGUGGGGAGCAAACAGG